rnacentral:rRNA from 1 species
UACAGAGGGGGCAAGCGUUGUUCGGAAUUACUGGGCGUAAAGAGUGCGUAGGCGGUUUUCUAAGUUUGGUGUGAAAUCUCCCGGCUUAACUGGGAGGGUGCGCCGAAGACUGGAAGGCUUGAGUAUGGGAGAGGUAAGCGGAAUUCCUGGUGUAGCGGUGAAAUGCGUAGAUAUCAGGAGGAACACCUGCGGUGUAGACGGCUUACUGGACCAUAACUGACGCUGAGGCACGAAAGCGUGGGUAGCGAACAGG